AAUGCCUUAGCUCAGUUGGUAGAGUGUCGUAUAGUACAAAUUCGGAGGUCGUAGGUUCAAAUCCCGCAAGCAGUC
rnacentral:tRNA from 1 species